UGCCAGACUCCUACGGGAGGCAGCAGUGGGGAAUAUUGCACAAUGGGGGAAACCCUGAUGCAGCGACGCCGCGUGAGUGAAGAAGUAUUUCGGUAUGUAAAGCUCUAUCAGCAGGGAAGAAAAUGACGGUACCUGACUAAGAAGCCCCGGCUAACUACGUGCCAGCAGCCGCGGUAAUACGUAGGGGGCAAGCGUUAUCCGGAUUUACUGGGUGUAAAGGGAGCGUAGACGGCAUGGCAAGUCAGAUGUGAAAGCCCGGGGCUCAACCCCGGGACUGCAUUUGAAACUGUCAGGCUGGAGUGCAGGAGAGGUAAGUGGAAUUCCUAGUGUAGCGGUGAAAUGCGUAGAUAUUAGGAGGAACACCGGUGGCGAAGGCGGCCUGCUGGACUGCGACUGACGUUGAGGCCCGAAAGCGUGGGGAGCAAACAGGAUUAGAUACCCGAGUA
rnacentral:rRNA from 1 species